CUGAGUGAGGGCCCUCUGGGUCCAACCUCCCACCCGUGUUUAUUGUACCUUGUUGCUUCGGCGGGCCCGCCUCACGGCCGCCGGGGGGCACCUGCCCCCGGGCCCGCGCCCGCCGAAGACACCAUUGAACUCUGUCUGAAGAUUGCAGUCUGAGCAGAUUAGCUAAAUCAGUUA
rnacentral:misc_RNA from 1 species